CCUGUGGGCUAUGCCGAGACGAUGGCAAUGCGCAAUCGCUUCUAGGAGCUGCUUCAUGACGGAAGCGGCCUCACUCUCCACGAUCGCAACAUAGAUA